rnacentral:rRNA from 1 species
UGGGGAAUUUUGGACAAUGGGGGAAACCCUGAUCCAGCAACGCCGCGUGAAUGAAGAAGGCCUUAGGGUUGUAAAGUUCUUUUAUCUGGGAGCAAAGAGUAUGUGUUAAUAGCGCAUAUAGAUGAGAGUACCAGAAGAAUAAGCACCGGCUAACUACGUGCCAGCAGCCGCGGUAAUACGUAGGGUGCGAGCGUUAAUCGGAAUUACUGGGCGUAAAGGGUGCGCAGGCUGGUUUGUAAGUUAGAUGUGAAAUGCCUGGGCUUAACCUAGGAACAGCAUUUAAGACUGCAAGUCUAGAGUUUGUCAGAGGGGGGUAGAAUUCCAAGUGUAGCAGUGAAAUGCGUAGAGAUUUGGAGGAAUACCGAUGGCGAAGGCAGCCCCCUGGGAUAGAACUGACGCUCAUGCACGAAAGCGUGGGUAGCAAACAGGAUUAGAUACCCCGGUAGUCC